UACGGAGGAUCCAAGCGUUAUCCGGAUUUAUUGGGUUUAAAGGGUGCGUAGGCGGAUUAUUAAGUCAGUGGUGAAAUCCUGCAGCUUAACUGCAGAACUGCCAUUGAUACUGAUGAUCUUGAGUACAGUUGAGGUGGGCGGAAUGUGUCAUGUAGCGGUGAAAUGCUUAGAUAUGACACAGAACACCGAUUGCGAAGGCAGCUCGCUAAACUGUAACUGACGCUGAGGCACGAAAGCGUGGGGAUCAAACAGG
rnacentral:rRNA from 1 species